ACAAACUUUUAACAAUGGAUCUCUAGGCUCUUGCAUCGAUGAAGAACGCAGUGAAGUGCGAAAAGUAAUGCGAUUUGCAUGCUCUGUGAGUCAUCGAAUCUUUGAACGCAUAUGGCACCUCCCGGCCCUGCCGGAGGGUAUGCCUGUUUGAGAAUCAUAU
rnacentral:rRNA from 1 species